AACAGCUGCGGUAUUUUAACUGUACUAAGGUAGCAUAAUAAUUUGCCUUAUAAUUUGAGGCUAGAAUGAAUGGUUUGACGAAGGUUAAUCUGUCUCUAUUUUACUUUUUAGAAAUUAAUUUUCAUAGUGAAAAAGCUUGGAUUUUUUAAAGGGACGAGAAGACCCUAUUGAGCUUAUAAUUUUAUUAUCGUCAGUAGUUAUUAAUUUUAUCGGCGUUAUAUAAAUUUUAAUUGGGGUGAUUAAGGAAUAAAAAAGUUUAUAUGUGAGUAACUUCCUUAGAAGUAAUAAAUCGUUAGAUAAAGUAACCAAUAAAUUGUUAAAAUUAUUGCUUAUACUAUAGUUACCAUAGGGAUAACAGCGUAAUUUAUUUAGAGAGUUCUUAUUGAAAAAUAAGAUUGCGACCUCGAUGUUGGAUUAAAGUAACCUUAAGGUGUAGAAGCUUUAAUAAGGUAAAUCUGUUCGAUUUUUAAAACUUUACGUGAUCUGAGUUCAGAC
rnacentral:rRNA from 1 species